GGCGGCGUGCUUAACACAUGCAAGUCGAACGAUGAACCGGCUUCGGCUGGGGAUUAGUGGCGAACGGGUGAGUAACACGUGGGCAAUCUGCCCUGCACUCUGGGACAAGCCCUGGAAACGGGGUCUAAUACCGGAUAUUACCUGGUGAGGCAUCUUACUGGGUGGAAAGCUCCGGCGGUGCAGGAUGAGCCCGCGGCCUAUCAGCUUGUUGGUGGGGUGAUGGCCUACCAAGGCGACGACGGGUAGCCGGCCUGAGAGGGCGACCGGCCACACUGGGACUGAGACACGGCCCAGACUCCUACGGGAGGCAGCAGUGGGGAAUAUUGCACAAUGGGCGAAAGCCUGAUGCAGCGACGCCGCGUGAGGGAUGACGGCCUUCGGGUUGUAAACCUCUUUCAGCAGGGAAGAAGCGAGAGUGACGGUACCUGCAGAAGAAGCGCCGGCUAACUACGUGCCAGCAGCCGCGGUAAUACGUAGGGCGCGAGCGUUGUCCGGAAUUAUUGGGCGUAAAGAGCUCGUAGGCGGCUUGUCACGUCGGAUGUGAAAGCCCGGGGCUUAACCCCGGGUCUGCAUUCGAUACGGGCAGGCUAGAGUUCGGUAGGGGAGAUCGGAAUUCCUGGUGUAGCGGUGAAAUGCGCAGAUAUCAGGAGGAACACCGGUGGCGAAGGCGGAUCUCUGGGCCGAUACUGACGCUGAGGAGCGAAAGCGUGGGGAGCGAACAGGAUUAGAUACCCUGGUAGUCCACGCCGUAAACGGUGGGCACUAGGUGUGGGCAACAUUCCACGUUGUCCGUGCCGCAGCUAACGCAUUAAGUGCCCCGCCUGGGGAGUACGGCCGC
rnacentral:rRNA from 1 species